GCUCAGUUGGUAAAGCACAAGGCUUUUGACCUUAUGGACGUGGAUUCAAGCCCCAC
rfam:Triticum urartu cultivar G1812 contig55241, whole genome shotgun sequence.